GUGCACGUCUCCUAGCCUUUUUCUAUCUAUAAACACACACACACCUGUGCACCUUUUGUAGAUCCUCUUCGAAAGAGGAGAGAUCUAUGUUUUCAUCACACCACAACAUGAUCGUAUGGCCAGAAUGAAAAAGAAAGCAAUAUAUUAUACAACUUUCAGCAAUGGAUCUCUUGGUUCUCGCAUCGAUGAAGAACGCAGCGAAUUGCGAUAAGUAAUGUGAAUUGCAGAUUUCCAGUGAAUCAUCGAAUCUUUGAACGCAUCUUGCGCUCCUUGGUAUUCCGAGGAGCAUGCCUGUUUGAGUGUCAUCGAAUUCUCAACCAUUCUCUCUUUAUUUAUUAUUUAUAAGGAGGGGGGCAUGGCUUGGAGUUGGGGGUUGCUGGCACAGGACUGUCAGCUCCUCUUAAAUGCAUUAGUGAACAAGUUGGGCUGGUCUUUGACGUGGACGGCCUUGGACGUGAUAAUGAUCGUCGUGGCUGGAGCGUCCUUAGCUAGACUAUGCACAUCAGAUCGCUUCUAAAUCAAGACGAGAGAGGAUGGGGGAGUGGUCUAAUCGAGCUUAGUUAUUAGGCAGUCUCUGAAAGGAAGGCUGGCGAACGCGA
rnacentral:rRNA from 1 species